ensembl:lncRNA
UCAGAAUCAUGGAGGAAAGAAAGAGUUGGAGAGAACACUUACUUUGGAACAGUGGUUUUCAACUUUGACUGCAUACUGAAAAAACCUGGGCAGCUCUAAAAAGUACUGAUGCCUAGGUCUCACCCUCAGAGACUCUUAAUUUAAUUGCCUUGGUAUGUUGCUAGUGAAUUGAGUUUCAAAAGCUCUCCAGCUGAUAUUAAUGUGCAGCUAAGAUUGAAAACCUCUGCUCUAGAGUUAAAAAGGCCAAUAUUGUUUUAGGAAAACAGGUGAAGAAUAUUAGUUAGAAUUCUGCAACUUAUCAGGGUCCAAAGUAUACUUGAGUGAAGAAGUGAAAACUUGUAGGGAAGAAAACAGGUUAGGACAAGAAGUCACUUAGACUUAGGCCAGCAGGUGAUAUGAUUUUUACAAGGUGAAGAUGAGAAGAAAGAAGAAUGAAGUAGUUAAAAGAAGCAUAAACGGGACCUGAAGGCAGAAUCAUAAUUCAAAGUUCAGGAAUUAAAGGCUGAGUGAGAACUCAGACUGGAAUUCUUCACGGAAAACACAUCUACUUCCUCCUGUGAAAAUAUGGCAUUUUAUACUUAAAUUCAAACUUGGUUAAUGAGCUGCCCCCUCAUCCUCUGUUGUUGGGAGCAGGAAGCCUGGUGUGAAAUCGCACUUGGUUACCUUCAUUACCUUGAUGUGUGGUAGCUGACCUAGGAAUGCAACCUGAAGAAAUCAGCACCUCCUAGAUACACAAUGAAUAGAAGGUCUCAGAAGAAAUAUGAGGACAAAUAGGUAAGCUAAGGACUGGCAUAAAAGACCAGAUCCCUAGAGUUUUAUAUUUUACCACAAG